GAUGAAGAACGCAGCGAAAUGCGAUAAGUAGUGUGAAUUGCAGAAUUCAGUGAAUCAUCGAAUCUUUGAACGCACAUUGCGCCCCUUGGUAUUCCAUGGGGCAUGCCUGUUCGAGCGUCAUUUGUACCUUCAAGCUCUGCUUGGUGUUGGGUGUUUGUCUCGCCUCUGCGCGCAGACUCGCCCCAAAACAAUUGGCAGCCGGCGUAUUGAUUUCGGAGCGCAGUACAUCUCGCGCUUUGCACUCAUAACGACGACGUCCAUAAAGUACAUUUUUUACACUCUUGACCUCGGAUCAGGUAGGGAUACCCGCUGAACUUAAGCAUAUCAAUAAGCGGAGGA
rnacentral:misc_RNA from 1 species